rnacentral:rRNA from 16 species
UUAGUUGGUGGAGUGAUUUGUCUGCUUAAUUGCGAUAACGAACGAGACCUUAACCUACUAAAUAGUGGUGCUAGCAUUUGCUGGUUAUCCACUUCUUAGAGGGACUAUCGGUUUCAAGCCGAUGGAAGUUUGAGNNNN